rnacentral:rRNA from 1 species
UGCGUAGGGUGCGAGCGUUGUCCGGAAUUAUUGGGCGUAAAGAGCUCGUAGGCGGUCUGUCGCGUCGGCUGUGAAAACCCGGGGCUCAACCCCGGGCCUGCAGUCGAUACGGGCAGACUAGAGUGUGGUAGGGGAGACUGGAAUUCCUGGUGUAGCGGUGAAAUGCGCAGAUAUCAGGAGGAACACCGGUGGCGAAGGCGGGUCUCUGGGCCAUAACUGACGCUGAGGAGCGAAAGCGUGGGGAGCGAACAGG